GAUGAAGAACGCAGCGAAAUGCGAUACUUGGUGUGAAUUGCAGAAUCCCGUGAACCAUCGAGUCUUUGAACGCAAGUUGCGCCCGAAGCCGUCAGGCCGAGGGCACGCCCGCCUGGGCGUCACACGCCGUUGCCCCCCCGCGCCCCGCACCCAACGCUUUGGGAGCGACCGCGGGGCGGGCUGAUGAUGGCCUCCCGUGCGCUCCGCCGCGCGGUUGGCCCAAAUACCGAGUCCCCGGCGACGUGCGCCACGACGAUCGGUGGUUGAGAGACCUCUGUCGCAAGUCGUGCGCGCCCGUCGCGUCACGCGGGCUCGCAUAGCGCCUCGCGCCGCACCCGGUGCGGAGCUUUCAACGCGACCCCAGGUCAGGCGGGGUUACCCGCUGAAUUUAAGCAUAUCAAUAAGCGGAGGA
rnacentral:misc_RNA from 1 species